rnacentral:rRNA from 1 species
AGAGCGAACGCUGGCGGCAUGCUUAACACAUGCAAGUCGCACGGUUUGGGGUUUCGGCCUCGGGCAGUGGCGGACGGGUGAGUAACGCGUAGGAAUUUAUCCAAGGGUGGGGGAUAACCGCGGGAAACUGUGGCUAAUACCGCAUGACGACUGAGGUCUAAAGCCUGUGAGGCGCCUAUGGAGAAGCCUGCGUCUGAUUAGCUUGUUGGUGGGGUAACGCCUACCAAGGCGAUGAUCGGUAGCUGGUCUGAGAGGAUGAUCAGCCACACUGGACUGAGACACGGCCCAGACUCCUACGGGAGCAGCAGUGGGAAUAUUAGGACAAGUGGCGCAAGCCUGAUCCAGCAAUCGCCGCGUGAGUGAAGAAGGUCUUACGGAUUGUAAAGCUCUUUUGGCAGGACGAUGAUGACGGUACCUGCAGAAUACGCCCCG